AAAUAUGGUUACGGCACAGAGUGGAUGCCUCGACUUGUGUAUCCGAUGAAGGACGUGGGAGACUGCGAUAUGCCUCGGUAAGCCGUCAACAGGCGUUAUAACCGGGGAUUUCCGAAUGGGGGAACCCUAAAGAGCGAACCUCUUUAAUCCGUAAUGGAAGGACACUUGCUGAAUUGAAAUAUCUUAGUAAGCAAGGAAAAGAAAUCAAUUGAGAUUCCCUAAGUAGUGACGAGCGAAACGGGAUCAGCCCAAACCUGCGUAAACUUAUGGGUGCAGACCUUGAACGCAGGGGUUGUAAGAGUUAUUUACCGUCUUCUGCAAGGACGGACAAAGCGAUAGUUUGGAUAGGAGAAGGACUUGGGAAGGUCCGCCAAAGAGGGUGAAAGCCCCGUAACCGAAAUCCUUAUUAUCUAUUUGCAAUAAUUUCUUGAGUAGCAUCAGACACGAGAAAUCUGGUGUGAAGCUGGGGAGACCACUCUCCAAGGCUAAAGAGUACACAAGAUCGAUAGUGAACAAGUACUGUAAAGGAAAGGUGAAAAGAACCCCGGGAGGGGAGUGAAAUAGAUCCUGAAACCCUGUGCCAAUGAAGAGUAGGAGCCUGUAUUUAUACGGGUGACUGCGUACUUUUUGUAGAACGGACCAACGAGUUAGCUGUAUGUGGCAAGGUUAAGGGAGAGUAUACCCGGAGCCGUAGGGAAACCGAGUCUGAAUAGGGCGAUUCAGUCACAUGCACUAGACCCGAAACCCAUGCGAGCUACUCAUGUGCAGGCUGAAGGUGUGGUAACACACACUGGAGGGCCGAACCAUUUAGAGCUGCAAGUCUAUUGGAUGACAUGUGAGUAGGAGUGAAAAGCUAAUCGAGCUGGGAGAUAGCUGGUUCUCCGCGAAAUAUAUUUAGGUAUAGCCUCAUAAAGCAACAGUCUGAGGUAGGGCUCUGAUAAGGUGAGCGGGUCGCGAGACUUAGCAAUCCUUGAUAAACUUCGAAUGCAGACUGCCAAGUAUUAUGAGAGUCAGACAGUGACGGAGAAGCGCCAUUGUCAAAAGGGAAACAGCCCAGAUUCCUGUCUAAGGUCCCCAAAUAUACACUCAGUGGAAAAGGAUGUGAGGUUACUGAGACAACCAGGAUGUUGGCUUAGAAGCAGCCACUCAUUCAAAGAGUGCGUAAUAGCUCACUGGUCGAGUGAUCUUGCGCCGAAAAUUCAACGGGGCUUAAGUGUAUUACCGAAGACGGAAACUCCAAUUUUAUUGGAGUGGUAGCGGAGCGUCCUCUAUGCUGAUGAAGGUGAGUCGUAAGGCUUGCUGGAGGUACGAGGAGUGAAAAUGUUGGUAUGAGUAACGCGAACAGAAUGAAAACUUCUGUCACCGAAUGCCCAAGGUUUCCGAUCCAACGUCAGUCGUGGUCGGGUUAGUCGGUCCUAAGGUGUACCCGAAAGGGGAAACCGAUGGAUAGCAGGUUAAUAUUCCUGCACUUCAAAUGUUCGCUAUUACGACGUGGGGACAUAUCGGGUCAUUGGAGAGGGUUAUAGAUCAUCCUCAAAUUAUACAACAGCGGACACUUAGGAAAAUCCGGGUGUCAUUACGAAAGAGUAUAGUUUCUCUCAAAGUGAAGGCGUAAGCCCGAGCAAUGAGAAGUCCUACAAUGAUUUGGUAUCGAGAAAAGCCACUAAGGAGAACAAAUGAAACCGUACCGCAAUCGAACACUCGUGGGCUGGUGUGAGUACACCAAGGUGGACGGGAUAACUAUGCUUAAGGAACUCUGCAAAACAGCGGUCGUAACUUCGGGAUAAGACCUGCCUGGAGAGUAAUUCACUCUUCAGGCCGCAGCUAACGAGCCCAGGCGACUGUUUACCAAAAACACAGCUCUCUGCAAACACGUAAGUGGAAGUAUAGGGGGUGAUGCCUGCCCAGUGCCAGAAGAUUACGGGGAGGGGUGCAAGCUCUGAACUUAAGUCCUGGUGAACGGCGGCCGUAACUAUAACGGUCCUAAGGUAGCGAAAUUCCUUGUCGGGUAAGUUCCGACCCGCACGAAUGGCAUAACGGUCUGGGCACUGUCUCAAGCAUAGUCCCGGUGAAAUUGCAAUAUCGGUAAAAAUGCCGAUUACUCGCAGCAAGACGGAAAGACCCUAUGAAGCUUUACUCUAACUUGGCACUGAUGUAUUCAGUUUGAUGCGCAGGAUAGGUGGGAGACUAUGAAAGAGACCCUCUGGGGUUUCCCGAGUCAUCCUUGAGAUACCACCCUUCACUCUGUGUACAUCUAACCCCAUAUUGGGGGACAGUGCUUGGCGGGGAGUUUAACUGGGGCGGUUGCCUCCUAAAAAAUAACGGAGGCGCACAAAGGUAUGCUAGUCCCGGAUGGAAAUCGGGAUGGUCGUGUAUUCGCAUAAGCAUGCUUAACUGAGAGACCAACAAGUCGAUCAGAUACGAAAGUAGGUGAAAGUGAUCCGGCACCAACAUGUGGGAGUGGUGUCGCUCAACGGAUAAAAG
rnacentral:rRNA from 1 species